AUUUAAAACAUUAUUUGGCCGAAUAUGCGCUAGAGUAGUGAAGCGUGCUUGGGCGAGAGUAGUACUAGGAUUGGUGACCUCCUGGGAAGUCCUCGUGUUGCACCCC
rnacentral:rRNA from 1 species